rnacentral:rRNA from 1 species
GAACGCUAGCGGCAGGCUUAAUACAUGCAAGUCGAACGGGAUUCGGGGUAGCAAUACUUUGAUGAGAGUGGCGCACGGGUGCGUAACGCGUAUGCAACCUACCUUUAACAGGGGAAUAGCCCCGAGAAAUCGGGAUUAAUACUCCGUAACAUUGCGGUGUGGCAUCACACUGCACUUAAAGCUGAGGCGGUUAAAGAUGGGCAUGCGUGACAUUAGCUAGUUGGUGAGGUAACGGCUCACCAAGGCAACGAUGUCUAGGGGUCCUGAGAGGGUUAUCCCCCACACUGGUACUGAGACACGGACCAGACUCCUACGGGAGGCAGCAGUAAGGAAUAUUGGUCAAUGGGCGCAAGCCUGAACCAGCCAUGCCGCGUGCAGGAAGACGGCCCUAUGGGUUGUAAACUGCUUUUGUCAGGGAAUAAACCCCCGCUCGUGAGCGGGGCUGAAGGUACCUGAAGAAUAAGCAUCGGCUAACUCCGUGCCAGCAGCCGCGGUAAUACGGAGGAUCCAAGCGUUAUCCGGAUUUAUUGGGUUUAAAGGGUGCGUAGGCGGAAUUGUAAGUCAGUGGUGAAAUCCUACAGCUUAACUGUAGAACGGCCAUUGAUACUGCAAAUCUUGAGUACAUUUGAAGUGGGCGGAAUGUGUCAUGUAGCGGUGAAAUGCUUAGAUAUGACACAGAACACCGAUUGCGAAGGCAGCUCACUAAACUGUAACUGACGCUGAGGCACGAAAGCGUGGGGAGCAAACAGGAUUAGAUACCCUGGUAGUCCACGCCCUAAACUAUGAUUACUCGAUGUGUGCGAUAUACUGUACGCGUCUAAGCGAAAGCAUUAAGUAAUCCACCUGGGGAGUACGAUCGCAAGGUUG